CGUCUAGGUGGUGAUGCAAGUCAGGGGUGAAAGGUUAGAGCUUAACUCUAACAUUGCCUUUGAAACUGUAUUGCUAGAGUACGGGAGAGGAAAGUGGAACUACCAGUGUAGUGGUGAAAUGCGUAGAUAUUGGUAGGAAUGUCAAUGACGAAGGUAGCUUUCUGGACCGAUACUGACACUAAAGCGCGAAAGCUAGGGAGCAAACA
rnacentral:rRNA from 1 species